rnacentral:rRNA from 1 species
GACGAACGCUGGCGGCGUGCCUAAUACAUGCAAGUAGAACGCUGAAGGAGGAGCUUGCUUCUCCGGAUGAGUUGCGAACGGGUGAGUAACGCGUAGGUAACCUGCCUGGUAGCGGGGGAUAACUAUUGGAAACGAUAGCUAAUACCGCAUAACAGUAGAUAUCGCAUGAUAUCUGCUUGAAAGGUGCAAUUGCAUCACUACCAGAUGGACCUGCGUUGUAUUAGCUAGUUGGUGAGGUAACGGCUCACCAAGGCGACGAUACAUAGCCGACCUGAGAGGGGGAUCGGCCACACUGGGACUGAGACAAGGCCCAGACUCCUACGGGAGGCAGCAGUAGGGAACCUUCGGCAAUGGACGGAAGGCUGACCGAGCAACGCCGCGUGAGUGAAGAAGGGUUUCGGAUCGUAAAGCUCUGUUGUAAGAGAAGAACGAGUGUGAGAGUGGAAAGUUCACACUGUGACGGUAUCUUACCAGAAAGGGACGGCUAACUACGUG